rnacentral:rRNA from 1 species
UACCACAUGCAAGUCGAACGAAACCUUCGGGCUUAGUGGCGCACGGGUGCGUAACGCGUGGGAAUCUGCCCUUGGGUUCGGAAUAACAUAGAGAAAUUGGAGCUACUACCGGAUGAUGUCUUAAGCUCAAAGAUUUAUCGCCCAUGGAUGAGCCCGCGUAGGAUUAGCUAGUUGGUGAGGUAAAGGCUCACCAAGGCGACGAUCCUUAGCUGGUCUGAGACGAUGAUCAGCCCCACUGGGACUGAGACCCGGCCCAGACUCCUACGGGAGGCAGCAGUGGGGAAUAUUGGACAAUGGGCGAAAGCCUCAUCCAGCAAUGCCGCGCGAGUGAUGAAGGCCUUAGGGUUGUAAUGUUCUUUUACCCGGGAUGAUAAUGACAGUACCGGGAGAAUAAGCCCCGGCUAACUCCGUGCCAGCAGCCGCGGUAAU